AGUGAACGCUGGCGGUAGGCCUAACACAUGCAAGUCGAACGGCAGCACAGUAAGAGCUUGCUCUUACGGGUGGCGAGUGGCGGACGGGUGAGGAAUACAUCGGAAUCUACUUUUUCGUGGGGGAUAACGUAGGGAAACUUACGCUAAUACCGCAUACGACCUACGGGGGAAAGCAGGGGAUCUUCGGACCUUGCGCGGUUGAAUGAGCCGAUGUCGGAUUAGCUAGUUGGCGGGGUAAAGGCCCACCAAGUCGACGAUCCGUAGCUGGUCUGAGAGGAUGAUCGGCGACACUGGAACUGAGACACCGUCCAGGCUCCUACGGGAGGCCGCAGUGGGGUAUAGUGGACAAUGGGCGCGAGCCUUAUCCAGCCGUACCGCGUGGGUUGAGGAGGCCUUCCGGUUGUAAAGCCCUUUUGUUGGGUAAAAAAAGCAGCCGGUUAAUACCCCGCUGUUCUGACGGUACCCAAAGAAUAAGCACCGGCUAACUUCGUG
rnacentral:rRNA from 1 species